AAAAAAAAGACGUGAAUUUCUAUAAAAUCAGCAUUAAAAAAACUUAACUUUUACUCGAUCAUGUCAAGAACCAAGCAAAUAGAGAGUAAUCCACUCACCUUAGAGGUGUGUAGUUCAGGGAGUUUGAUGGAACCGCAGUGAGGAGCAAAGGAAAUCAUAGUUUGGUACAGUGGAUAUGAGCUGAUCUCUAGAAAUUAGUGGAGUGGCAAUGACUAGUGAGUAGGGUUUUGGGUUUCAAGGAGGAUCAACUCAAGGCUAUGCUGGUGUAGAAUGGACCUUUUUUUUAAUUUAUUAUUUCAC
rnacentral:lncRNA from 1 species